rnacentral:rRNA from 1 species
UACGACUACAUAUCAGGCAUAUCAAUAAGCGGAGGAAAAGAAACUAACAAGGAUUCCCUUAGUAACGGCGAGUGAAGCGGGAAGAGCUCAAAUUUGAAAUCUUCAAGGUUCUACCUUGACGAAUUGUAGUUUAAAGAAGUGUUUUCUGUUAGAUGAGUAGCAAAAGUUCCUUGGAAUGGGACAUCAUAGAGGGUGAGAAUCCCGUAUUUGGUUAUUCAUUCUAGCUUUGUGAUACACUUUCAAAGAGUCGGAUUGUUUGGGAAUGCAGUCCAAAACUGGGUGGUAAAUUUCAUCUAAAGCUAAAUAUUGGCGAGAGACCGAUAGCGAACAAGUACCGUGAGGGAAAGAUGAAAAGAACUUUGAAAAGAGAGUUAAACAGUACGUGAAAUUGUCAAAAGGGAAGCGUUUGACACCAGUGUUGUUUUUCCGAAAAUCAAUUACGAAUGGCUUGAUUUUGUGUUGUAUUGACCUUAUCAGCUUUCUUCACUUUUUUCGAGUCUUUCUUAAUGCACUUUUCGGUUAACAAGUCAACAUCAAUUUCUUUUGUUGUAAAAGAGUAUUCGGAAGGUGGCUUUCUUUUCGGAGAAAGUGUUUAUAGCCCUAUACUUCUACAAUCGGAGAGAUUGAGGUCUGCAGCGUAGAUCCUUCGGGGUUAGAUACACUUGUGCUAAGUUGUAGCUUUUCAUAGACAACUCGUUGACUAUGUUUCGUCAUGCGGCUUACUCGCUUGUGCUAUUUUACCUACGCUUAGGAUGUUGAGUAGCGACAUACGCAC